GGGUCAGUAGGUUGGUCGUGCCACCGGUACGUACUGGUCUCACUGAUUCCUCCUUCCCGAAGAACCGUAAUGCCAUUAAUUUGGUGUUGCGGGGAAACAGGACUGUUACUUUGAAAAAAUUAGAGUGUUUAAGGCAAGCUAACGCUUGAAUACAUUAGCAUGGAAUAAUGAAAUAGGACGAUCGAUCCUAUUUUGUUGGUUUCUAGGAUUGACGUA
rnacentral:rRNA from 1 species